rnacentral:rRNA from 1 species
AUGAACGCUGGCGGCGUGCCUAAUCCCUGCAAGUCGAGCGCACGGACGAGAAGCUUGCUUUUCUGAUGUUAGCGGCGGACGGGUGAGUAACACGUGGAUAACCUACCUAUAAGACUGGGAUAACUUCGGGAAACCGGAGCUAAUACCGGAUAAUAUUUUGAACCGCAUGGUUCAAAAGUGAAAGACGGUCUUGCUGUCACUUAUAGAUGGAUCCGCGCUGCAUUAGCUAGUUGGUAAGGUAACGGCUUACCAAGGCAACGAUGCAUAGCCGACCUGAGAGGGUGAUCGGCCACACUGGAACUGAGACACGGUCCAGACUCCUACGGGAGGCAGCAGUAGGGAAUCUUCCGCAAUGGGCGAAAGCCUGACGGAGCAACGCCGCGUGAGUGAUGAAGGUCUUCGGAUCGUAAAACUCUGUUAUUAGGGAAGAACAUAUGUGUAAGUAACUGUGCACAUCUUGACGGUACCUAAUCAGAAAGCCACGGCUAACUACGUG